AGUUCCUAUUAGCCCCCUGACAUGAAAACACUUCCAGUGGUACAGAGUUUGGGUCCUUGCUUCUGCACAUUCGUUUGAUCAGAUGGAAGAGUGCUACGAGAGGUACAAACAUGCAAGGAAGGAUGGCUAACAGCACACAGAUGGCCCGUACCCAAGGUGGAUAAACUUUCUCUUCUUUCAUAGGGAAGCCUUCCUAUGGAGAUAAAAAACAAGCACACCAAAUAAUUGGUACAGAGGCUCUGAGAAAUUUCACUUCAACAGUUCUCUCCAUCACAAACACCUCUAAAAAGUGGAGUAUGGUGUAUGUGGGACUUCGUAAGAAGAGGCCCUGUUAUAAGAAGAUAGUUUCGAUAUGUGUAACCUUGUAACCUCUGUGCAUACCAGAGCCUUCUCAUUGUGAGCAUUGUGUCAGUUCAGGCUGAGUUGCACAGACAUAUGCAACCCCAAUCACUUCAAGGAAGGCGAUGACUAGAAGAGGCAACGAGCCUGCAUAGCUGUCAAAAAUGUCAAUCCAGUAGCUCCCCGAACCCAGUGUAAAACACAGAGCAAUGAGGAAGCAUAUUAGACAUAUUAUACCUGAAGAAAGAAAGAUAUUUUUGGUACUGAAAUGCUGAACUGAACUAGGUGAGUAUAUUUUUGUUCUAAAUUAUUUUUGCUCUAGAUCUAGUGAUUUUUAUUCUCUCUCUCUCUAUGGAGCUACAACAAGCUUUCCAUAACUGGAAAAUCAGUUUCAAAAUACUACAGUUACCUUAUCAAGUUGUAAAUAAGUUUGUUUCUACACAAAAAGCUGUAAAACGGGAGGGAUACAAUAAGAUGCCACCCUGAAAAAGGCAUGACUGCAAUAUUCACCAUAAGAAUUUAGAAGGGCACAUUGUGUGGAAGUGUUAGUCCAUUACUUCAAACUGCCAGAAGUUUUUCUGGACCGAUUUUUCUAGACCAAUUUUGCAGCAGGAUUUCUCAGACUCACUGAGUCUGGUUCCUGAGGAGCAGGUUGGGUUCAGUCACUGUCUCUGCUUGAAAAGAUUCCCGCUUUGGUGCAAGUACAGGCUCGCACGCACUCGCUCCGCAGUUUCCGAGCGGUAAUUUCCUACUCUGGCAUGUUCACAGAAAUGUGAAAUAAUCUGUAGCAGCACAAACCUGAAUCAAAUAGGGGUGAAUGACCUGUUGUGUGAUGGUGACGAUGUAGUAAGUUCAUGCACAGGUGGUUAUGGCAAAGCAGCUGAUGUUGCCCUAAAGCGACUUUAAGUGCCAAAGGCUCAAACGGAGACAAGGCUCUUCCUGAUCUCUGCAAUAGCUCAGAGUGAACUUGACUCCAGGAACAGCGAUUUAACAAGCUUUCUCAGACUGAAACAGCUCUUGCAAGCUAAAUAAAAACUGAACUGGCAAGGGCAGUAUAUUAAUAAUACUGUCAUCUGACAGCUUCUGCCAUAACUGCUACCUCAUCUGUGUGCUUAUCUUCUGCAAACACAAUCCGCUGCCCUUAUGAGCACUGUGAGAUAACUAAGUUUGUAUUACAAAUUCUUAAUUAUUCUGUGAUAAUUAUUAAGCAGGUUCCAGUUUGCGCAUCUAUAAAGAAGCCACCUUCUCUGCACAAAGCAAAGCAAAGAUCUUACCAGAUAAAAGCUCUUUGGUUAGUGAUUUAGAUAUAACUUGAAUCUCUAGAAGAGGAGUGAAGACUCCUUCGAUGGUCCCAAACAUAGAAGAAAGGCCCAAGCUGAACAACAUUAUGAAAAACAGGAUGGCCCAGGCCUGGGAGCCUGGCAUGAGAAUGAUGGCUUGAGUGAAAACGAUGAAAGCCAAGCCAGUUCCUGAUACGCUCUGCAGAAUUCACAUACAGAUAAAAAUACACAUUAUAAUGGUGCAAAUGUAGUUUCUCAUCGGUAUAGAAUUAGAACACACUCUUGUCCUUCCAUGGAGUCAAGGGUGCUGGUCAGCCUGUGGGGCUCUGUGGCACCCAGACAUUGAGAAAAUGGAGUGUUUGUGGGGAUUUCAACUUUAAAUGGUCACUUAGAGAUGUGUAGACAACCAAAGAGCAGAAUUUUAGCUUGCACAGGAAGAUGAAUCAAGAGUAAAGCAGAUCUGAGAGCUGUAAUUGAAAUAGCAAAUGUUUUGCUAAUACCAACUUAAAUAUGUUUAAAUGUGUAGACAACCAUAGAGCAGAAUUUUAGCUUGCACAGGAAGAUGAGUGUAGAAUAAAGCAGAUCCGAGAGUUGUAAUUGAAAUAGCAAUUGUUUUGCUAAUACCAACUUAAAUAUGUUUUAAAAAAAAAAAAUCUAUGAUGUAAUAGCUGCUGGAAAGAAAAAGAUGUAAAUAAAGGUAUGAUUGCCACUCUAACAGAAAAAGAGUUGGGGAACUGUGGAUCACAAAACCCUCCGGAAUUACCAGGGCAGAAAAGGCUAAAUGUGAAAAACCCCAUUUCAGCCAGAUUUAUUUGAAUUCAGUCUCCCAAGGUGAAAGAUAUUUAAAUCCAAGCAUUGAAAAGUGUUGAUGUUGUUCUAAUUUGGAAGUAAAUUACGUCAAACUGUAAAUCAGAAAUGGGUGCCAUCAGAGAAAGCUGGACAAAACAGAAACCGACUCGUGUCAGGGCUGGAAUGUCAUCCUUGGACUUCUCCGUCACGUGAGUAAAACAGCCUGUUUCACUGUCAUUGUGUGUUAAGGCUCUUGUGUAUUAGCACACUCUGUCUCUAGCAAAUGUGCCCACUGUUUUGUCUUAAGAUUUUAUUGUAAUUCUUUUCUCCAGCUUACUUCUUUCUUAUUCCCUCCUCCAAUCGCAGCCCUAUUCUUUCCUCAUUAGGUGGUAAGGACUUGUAACAAGGCAGUACAAGUGGGUGAAUAGUAAAUGAGAGUUACAGGAUUGGGUGGGAUCACUGGAGCAAGUAGAAUGAGGUUGGAGAAGGAAACGGGAGAAACACCUGUGUUUAGUGAUUGGGGAAAAUGUUUUAGGAGGAUUGUAAAAGAAGGAGAGGAUCAUGAUGUAUUUUGGUGGGCGGAGGGGAGCUGGGGGCAAAUAGAAAUGAAAUCUUUGUUAGAUUCUGUGCAGAGGGGAGGAAAAAGAGAAGGGAGGGGACUAGAGGGAAGAUAGAGUUGAGGAAAGGAUAAAAGACUGUGGUAAGGUACCUUCCUGGUCGUUAUAUAUGUGGUUGAAGGGAAACAGUCAACAUGUAAAUAGAUUUCUUUUUUUUAAUAGACUUUCCUAAAUAUGGAUUUAGGAAACUCCCACUCAGCAUCCUUUCUCUGUAAUCUUUCAACUAGGUGUGUUUCCUCUGUUGUACUAAUCUAGUGUCCAUGGUAGGCUCCAGGUAGGAGCUCCUUUGAAGACUAGUUUUGUGAUAAUAAUGUGUAAUUUUGCCUGCUGUACCAGGCAGCUUUGAGUUCAGACUGUCCCACCGCAGUGUUGUUUUUACAAAUUUUGAAAAAUUGUUUUGUUUCAUGAUUAUGUAUAAUAUAUCCAAUACAAGUAGAGUAGAAGUUCAAGUACUUAUAAGAAAAAUGAAGAUACUAGUUCUUCUACAUCUUUUGCUUAAGGGUUAUUUUGUUGAAAGCAAUUAUGGUACCUGAUCAAGAAAUUCUUGAAGGUCACAGCUUUUCAGUUUGAGUCCAGCAAUUUUUUCUGGAUGUGAUGAAUUUAGGAAACUAAUCCAGGCUGUGUAGUUCUGUCGCAUGAUGCUUUCUUCUGGAAGAUCAAAUUCAUUGAUGAUCCUUAUAAUGUUCCUGUCAGAGAAACCAACAUAUCUUCAGUUUAAAUGUUUGCAGAUGGUGUGGCUGGAAAUGCUAUGACAUAUAUUCAGAUAUUAAUAGAAAGUUUUGUUUACCUUCUGCGCUGUUACUUACAGUAUAAGGAAGAUAUUAAAUGAGGACUUAUAUAUAAAAUAGUUAGGAGAAAAUAUUAAGGACGUUUAAUGACUUCUCUUUCAGAUACAAGCCUGAGCACUGUAUGCAGAUGCAGUCUCUAAAACAUUCUAUUCCUUUUUUUUCAGUUCUCCACACCAUUUCUACCACAUGUAUUUAAUAAUUUAGUGAAUCUGGUGGAAUAUGAAGAGGUGUCAUUUUUUUAACUACUUCUAAUGCUAGUCUGAGACCGAGAUGUGAUCCUUGAUGCACUACUUGCAAUAGAUUGUUUUAUAAUUUGUCUUGCUUCUUAGAAACGCUACUCCUGAUCAUUCUUGCCUCAGUGCCAUGAUACUUUUUAUUUCUAUAGAAGCCUCCAUACAGAUGCUUUUCCUUUUCAGUGAAAAUAAAUUCUCUAAAUUCAUGUUUUUCAAGUAACACAUUACGUAGUUAGGCAUUGAAACCACAGUCUAACACGGGAAAUGCAAGUUUCUCACCUGUCCAAGCAGUCCCAAUAGCCUGUGGUUGCUUUAAAACCCAAAACAGAAAAGACUGGGAUGGAAGCGUAGAGGGAUGUCAGACUGUUCACGAUUGCUACUGUCACAGCAUCCUUUUCACAGUCAUUUCUAUAAAUAGAAUUCAAACAGGCGAAGUGACUAAAAAAAGGCAGUAUUUAUCUUCCCCAGGGUAUGGAAAAUAGUUAUUUAUUCUUAGCCUGCUAUACAAGUUGUUAGUCUACAUUGAACGUACUUGCUGAGCGUAAGAAAGGAAUCUGUUGUAAUUGGUAAAAUAAAAGAUCUCUAAUUUGUCAUUCUCUCAGGUAUUUCUGCAAACAUUUUAUUUCUUCAGCUAUUUUUAUGCCGUUUCCUGUUAGAAAAUCUGCUUGGCCUUUUAGAAAGACAGCAGCUGUUAAGAUCCUUUAGACAUAUACCAAGGAAAUAAUUUUGAAAGUUUUAGAACACUACAUGAAAUGCAGCAAGAAUUUAACCCACUUGUAAAGGUUGUACUUCUACUUACUUUGGUGGAUUGUAGCUUGAGAAUGCAAUAAGCCCUCCAAAAGCCAAAGAGAGAGAGAAGAAAAUCUGAGUAGCUGCAUCAAGCCAUACACGAGGAUUUUUCAGAGCGUACAGCUGAAAUAAUUGGAAUAAAUGCAAGGUAUUAGGCUUGAAUUAAAAAUUGUUUUUCUCUCUCCAUUCUUGUAGCUCGUCUCUUGUUUCACAAGUGCAAUUGUGAGUUGCGUUGCCAUCUAAAUACACCAAAAAUGGAAAUUAGUACAAAAUAUGUCAGUAAAGCAGGUGUUUCUGAAGACAUAAUUUGGUCUGUUUAAAUGUAUGUAGUAAUUAUAGAAUGUUUUUUCAUUGUACACCUCUUCUGUCUGAUGAUAAAAAUGUGUUUCUAAAUGGUAGGCACUAGGCACACAAUGAGGACAGUGCAUUGCAUUUUUCCUCAAUGUAUUUCUUUUUGUUAAUCCACAUACUGGGUAACUUACAGUUUAGUAGUAUCAUCUUCCUAAAACUGUCUAAGCAAAUACUAAGCCUUUAUUGUUUUAGGACACAAAGUGAUUCCAUAGAGUUCCAAAUUUUCUUAAAUUUAAAAAGACUUGAAAUCCAAUCAGACAAAAUAGGAUAUUCAUUAAAAAGAGUGACUUAAAUUCAAUGUACUGUGAAAACAGAAAUAAAAAAUAAAAGGGUUACAUAGGAAAAAUAAGAGAAAAAGGAGAAAUUGACAGACCGACAUUUGAAUUUUGAUGUAAGGGUGAUGUGAUAGAGAAAGAUAAAUGAAAAGUCAGUGAUUGUUGGAUUACAGAGAAUAAUAUGUAUUUUUAAAUAGCCGCACUAAGAAGGAAUUAAAAUCAGUCUAAAAGAAAAACAUAAAACAUAAAUAAUGCUCAGUGUAAAUGUGCUCAACAAGUAUUAUUUUCCUGCAGAAGCUAUAAAGUGGUGUGUUACAUUCACACCCUACUAGGUGAAUUACUUUCCAAUCCGUUAUCAAGUAGGGGAAAUAGGAAACAGGAUUAGUUAAGAAUUGAGUGUUUUAAAAAUCAGCAGGACUGGGUCUGUAGAGUAUUUCAGGUUUUUUUUUUAUAUCAGCCUGAGCCAACUCUGCAUCCCAGUCAUGCAGGACAAAUGGUGUGUUUGCUGUGUUGUGUCUACGUGCCUGUGCUGUCGAUCCCGGAACAUUACUACGAUCAUUUGUAGGAAUGAUCCUACUAGGAGUAUUUGUAGGAAAAAGAGACAAGUAUGUAAUUAUUUUGGGUUUCUCUGAAGCUGGCCUGAGCUUGAAGAGUGAGAAUGGUGGGCUGACUUCAGUGUGGAGGGAUGCAGUGAACGCCGUUGUUGCAGAUGCUUUCUCCACAGGUGUCCCGGUGCUUUGACCACAGCAGACCUGGUGUAACAUUUUGUACAACAUGGUGAGGCAAGCAGAGAUGUGCAACCAUUACUGGCUGCCAGGCUUCACCUUGGGGAAGCCUUUCUAGAGGUUUAUUUUGGAAGUUCAUAAUCAAACUCUUCAGUGCCGGAGUGCUCAUUGGUAGGACCUCCUGCAGGUGCAGAACUAGAUUGCUGUUGCAAUGCAGAACUUCAGCAUUCACAUUGCACUUUUUCAUUGUGGCCUUGGCAGUUUAAGUGCUGCCAAUUAAAUUGUCAGUGCUGAUAGAUGUGGCUGUUACUUACCUGGCUUUCUAACUGGGACUUUGGCAAAUGACUCUGGAGAUAGUUUAGUUUGGUGCUAGAUGCAGUUCUUUUAUUGACUCUAGAAGAUACUGAUCAACCCCCAAGCUUGAAGAAGUAGUGGACAGGCAAGCAUGCCAUAGCAGUGUCAUUAUCUCUUCUUAAGCAAAUCAUUAUGAAUCUAAAUCUUAAUUUAUAUUUUCAGUAAUGUGGCAUAUAGGUUUCAUAGGAGUGUCUUCAGUAGAAAAAAUGUGCUGAAGCUAGAAAUGUGCAGAUGAAGAUAUACAACCAGAAUGUUAAUGAAAGCACACAGGAGUAAUGAAGAAAGGAAGCACAAUUGCUCCUCCCUGGGUGGUGAGAUGUUUGAUUACUUGAACACAUGAAACACAGACAGAAACUUUCCUAAAUCAGAAAAUUAAAAAAUACUGUGUUGCCUAUGAUGUAAUUUUGGUGUAAAAAUUGCUAUUGCUUUACUCAUAAGCAAGUGACCAACAAGUAGUAAUGCAGCAGUUCAUUAAGGUAAUGCUUUCUUUUUUUUUCAGGCUCCCCAGGGAGGUAUCACAGCCCCAAGCCUGACAGUGUUCAAGAAGAGACUGAACAACACCCUCAGACACAUGGUGUGAACUGUGGGGUUGUCACAUGCAGGGACAGGAGUUGGACUCUGUGAUCCUUGUGGGUCCCUUCCAACUCAGGGCAUUCUAUGAUUCUAUGAUUUUUGUUCUCCGUAAUGCCAGAAACAAUAUGGGCACACGAGGUACCUUGAACAAAUUUCAAGUGUCUGUUCACAGUAAUAUAUCAGGUGCAAAAUUAAACUGCAAAAUAGAAGAAAAAAUUACAAAUUGCCCCUGUGAUGUAGGAUCUAGUGCCCGUGCUGCCUUCUUUUUCUUCUUUUUGGCUCUUUUCACUGCUCAUUAAGUAGCUGCAGACCUCUGGGGACAGGCAUCAGUUGCCCAGCCAAGGCCUUGGAAUUGCUCGUUUCCAGAGAACCUCCAGGUGUUUACAAUCCUUGAAGCUCUUUCAGAUGUGAGAGACACUGGAGAAGGACACAUUUGUAUUCCUGAACUGACACACAGGUCCUCAAAAGCUGAACCCUUUAAAGGCCAUUGAUGAUGCUUGAUAGGACCCCUUUUCUUCUUCCUCUGAUUAUUAUUAUUUUUUUUUUCAAGAACCUUUCCAAAGUUCUCUGUUCCAGCUCUGACGUUGCUUCAUCUUUGUACAACUUCUGCUUUCCCUUUAUGUGUCUGUGAGCAUAACUUCAAUAUCUUUAUGAAUUCUUGGCAGCUUCACUUUCCAGGUAGCCCAGGAUUUAGAGAGGAUGAGUAAAUCAUCUGACUUCUCCAUAUCUGAAAGUCAAUAAAAUAAAUUGUCAUUAUUUAUUCUAGAAUUUAAGGCAUGAAAGUGUGUCAGAUGGCAAAAAGCUGACUAUGAAUUUCUGCAUGAAAAUAAAACCACAGCCUGCCAUACUUAAAA